AGUAAAUAGAUACCCUGGUAGUCCACGCCGUAAACGAUGAGUACUAGGUGUAGGAGGUAUCGACUCCUUCUGUGCCGCAGUUAAACACAAUAAGUACUCCGCCUGGGAAGUACGGUCGCAAGAUUAAAACUCAAAGGAAUUGACGGGGGCCCGGCACAAGCAGCGGAGCAUGUGGUUUAAUUUCGAAGCAACGCGAAGAACCUUACCUAGACUUGACAUCUCCUGAAUAGCGUAGAGAUACGUGAAGCCCUUCGGGGUCGAGGAAGACAGGUGGUGCAUGGUUGUCGUCAGCUCGUGUCGUGAGAUGUUGGGUUAAGUCCCGCAACGAGCGCAACCCUUACUCAUUAGUUGCUACCAUUAAGUUGAGCACUCUAGUGAGACUGCCCGGGUUAACCGGGAGGAAGGCGGGGAUGACGUCAAAUCAUCAUGCCCCUUAUGUCUAGGGCUACACACGUGCUACAAUGGUGAGAACAACGAGAUGCAAUACCGCGAGGUGGAGCUAAACUUGAAAACUCAUCCCAGUUCGGAUUGUAGGCUGAAA
rnacentral:rRNA from 1 species